UUCAACAUGGUGAGACUCAGAAGCUCCCCCAGGUGUGCUGCUCCAACUCCCGGUGCCUUUCCCUGCCUGGUGGCCAACACCAAGCCCAGGGAAGAGAGUUGGGAGUAACCAGCCCAGGGUGUGGGAGAGCUGUUACCUGGCUUCUAAGCUGCCCGCAGUGACUAAGCAGCUGAAAAUGAAAAUAGCAGCUGAAAAUGUCGCCACCCACCUCCCGAACUUUCCAAGAAAAAGAAAAAGAAGGAAACAUUGGCCCAGGAAAAUGCUGCCUGUGAGCAAAAUGAAGAAGCAACAGUUUAUUUGUGCCAGAGAUGAGGCUUCCCUUGAAAUCAGUGUCGCUCAUGACUAUCUUUGUUUGAAGGUCCCUGGUUGGGUCUUCAUGGAUUAAAGCCCAUGUGAUUCCA